GACGAACGCUGGCGGCGUGCUUAACACAUGCAAGUCGAACGGAAAGGCCCUGCUUUUGUGCGGUGCUCGAGUGGCGAACGGGUGAGUUACACGUGAGUAUCCUGCCCUUGACUUUGGGAUAACUUCAAAAAACUGGGGCUAUUACCUGAUCGCAGCUCCUGCUGCAUGGUGUGGUUUGGACAGUUUCGGCGGUUGGGGAUGGACUCGCGUCUUAUCAGCUUGUUGGUGGGGUAGUAGCUUACCAAGCCUUUGGCGGGUAGCAGGCAUGAGAGGGAGACCGGCGACAUUGGGACUGAGAGACGGCCCAGACUCCUACGGGAGGCAGUAGUCGGGAAUAUGGCACAAGGGGCGGAAGUCUGAUGCAGCAACGCCGCGUGCGGGAUGAAGGCCUGCGGGUUGGAAACCGCUUUGGACUGUGACGAAGCGUGAGUGACGGUAAGGGGUAAAGAAGCACCGGCUAACUACGUG
rnacentral:rRNA from 1 species